rnacentral:rRNA from 1 species
AAUGAACGUUGGCGGCGUGGAUUAGGCAUGCAAGUCGCGCGAUAAAUCCCGCAAGGGAUCGAAAGCGGCGUAAGGGAGAGUAACACGUGGAUUAUCUGCCCUCGAGUCCGGGAUAGCCGCGGGAAACUGCGGGUAAUACCGGAUGACAUCUCCGGAUCAAAGGUGUGAUUCCGCUCGAGGAUGAGUCCGCGUCCUAUCAGCUAGUUGGUGGGGUAACGGCCUACCAAGGCAAUAACGGGUACUGGGUGUGAGAGCACGACCCAGCUCACUGGGACUGAGACACUGCCCAGACACCUACGGGUGGCUGCAGUCGAGGAUCUUCGGCAAUGGGCGCAAGCCUGACCGAGCGACGCCGCGUGCGGGAUGAAGGCCUUCGGGUUGUAAACCGCUGUCAGUGGGGAGGAAAUUCCCUGGGGUUCUCCCCAGGGAUUGACCUAUCUUCAGAGGAAGUACGGGCUAAGUUCGUGCCAGCCGCCGCCGUAA